rnacentral:piRNA from 1 species
UGUGUAAUACCUUGACUAGAUGGCUGU